AAACUCUCCAGAAUAAAGUUGUUAACAGGGUAAACUCUACAGAAUAAAGUUGUUAACAUGUUAACAGGGUAAACUCUACAGAAUAAAGUUGUUAACAGGGUAAACUCUACAGAAUAAAGUUGUUAACAUGGUAAACUCUACAGAAUAAAGUUGUUAACAGGGUAAACUCUACAGAAUAAAGUUGUUAACAUGUUAACAGGGUAAACUCUACAGAAUAAAGUUGUUAACAGGGUAAACUCUACAGAAUAAAGUUAACAGGGUAAACUCUACAGAAUAAAGUUGUUAACAUGUUAACGGGGUAAACUCUACAGAAUAAAGUUGUUAACAGGGUAAACUCUACAGAAUAAAGUUGUUAACAGGGUAAACUCUACAGAAUAAAGUUGUUAACAUGGUAAACUCUACAGAAUAAAGUUGUUAACAGGGUAAACUCUACAGAAUAAAGUUGUUAACAGGGUAAACUCUACAGAAUAAAGUUGUUAAUGGGGUAAACUCUACAGAAUAAAGUUGUUAACAUGUUAACAGGGUAAACUCUACAGAAUAAAGUUGUUAACAGGGUAAACUCUACAGAAUAAAGUUGUUAACAUGGUAAACUCUACAGAAUAAAGUUGUUAACAGGGUAAACUCUACAGAAUAAAGUUGUUAACAUGUUAACAGGGUAAACUCUACAGAAUAAAGUUGUUAACAUCAACCAGUAGAAGCACAUCACACACCUUGUCUAUGUCCCAAAUAGGAUCCUAUUCCCUGUAUCGUGCCCUACUUUCAUCUAGAGACCUAUUCCCUGUAUCGUGCCCUACUUUCAUCUAGAGCCCUAUUCCCUGUAUCGUGCCAUAUUCCCUGUAUCGUGCCCUA